CCUACGGGAGGCAGCAGCGAGGAAUAUUGGUCAAUGGCCGGAAGGCUGAACCAGCCAAGCCGCGUGAAGGACGAAGGUGCCAAGCAUUGUAAACUUCUUUUGUCAAGGGACAAAAUCAGGCUCGAGAGCCUGACCGAGGGUACUUGAAGAAAAAGCAUCGGCUAACUCCGUGCCAGCAGCCGCGGUAAUACGGAGGAUGCGAGCGUUAUCCGGAUUUAUUGGGUUUAAAGGGAGCGUAGGUGGAUUGUUAAGUCAGUUGUGAAAGUUUGCGGCUCAACCGUAAAAUUGCCGUUGAAACUGGAAGACUUGAGUGUGUUUGAGGUAGGCGGAAUGCGUGGUGUAGCGGUGAAAUGCAUAGAUAUCACGCAGAACUCCGAUUGCGAAGGCAGCUUACUAAGCCAUAACUGACACUGAAGCACGAAAGCGUGGGGAUCAAACAGGAUUAGAUACCCUAGUAGUC
rnacentral:rRNA from 1 species